GUGCCAGCCGCCGCGGUAAUUCCAGCUCCAAUAGCGUAUAUUAAAGUUGUUGUGGUUAAAAAGCUCGUAGUUGAACCUUGGGCCUGGCUGGCCGGUCCGCCUCACCGCGUGCACUGGUCCGGCCGGGCCUUUCCCUCUGUGGAACCCCAUACCCUUCACUGGGCGUGGCGGGGAAACAGGACAUUUACUUUGAAAAAAUUAGAGUGCUCCAGGCAGGCCUAUGCUCGAAUACAUUAGCAUGGAAUAAUAAAAUAGGACGCGCGGUUCUAUUUUGUUGGUUUAUAGGACCGCCGUAAUGAUUAAUAGGGACAGUCGGGGGCAUCAGUAUUCAACUGUCAGAGGUGAAAUUCUUGGAUCAGUUGAAGACUAACUACUGCGAAAGCAUUUGCCAAGGAUGUUUUCAUUAAUCAGGAACGAAAGUUAGGGGAUCGAAGACGAUCAGAUACCGUCGUAGUCUUAACCAUAAACUAUGCCGACUAGGGAUCGGACGGUGUUAUUCAUGACCCGUUCGGCACCUUACGAGAAAUCAAAGUGCUUGGGCUCCAGGGGGAGUAUGGUCGCAAGGCUGAAACUUAAGGAAAUUGACGGGAGGGCACCACCAGGGGUGGAGCCUGCGGCUUAAUUUGACUCAACACGGGGAAACUCACCAGGUCCAGACACAAUAAGGAUUGACAGAUUGAGAGCUCUUUCUUGAUUUUGUGGGUGGUGGUGCAUGGCCGUUCUUAGUUGGUGGGGUGACUUGUCUGCUUAAUUGCGAUAACGAACGAGACCUUAACCUGCUAAAUAGCCCGCAUUGCUCCCGGCAGUGCGCUGGCUUCUUAGAGGGACUUUCG
rnacentral:rRNA from 1 species